GGUGGGUCAUCGGCCCCGGCCCGCUGACCGGCAACCCUCACAUCGCGGUGGGGUGCCCCGGGUGACGACCUGGUCCCGCCGGUGCGGCGGGGCAAGCGCGGUCU
rnacentral:ncRNA from 2 species